rnacentral:rRNA from 1 species
CAGAGGUUACUGCUAUCGGAGUUCGANUAAGCCAUGCGAGUUGAGAGGGUUCGGCCCUCGGCGAACUGCUCAGUAACACGUGGAUAACCUGCCCUUGGGAUGGGAAUAACCCCGGGAAACUGGGGAUAAUGCCCGAUAUGUUACCUGUGCUGGAAUGCUUGGUAGCUUAAAGCUCCGGCGCCCAAGGAUGGGUCUGCGGCGGAUUAGGUUGUCGCCGGUGUAACGUACCGACGAGCCGAUAAUCCGUACGGGUUGUGAGAGCAAGAGCCCGGAGAUGGAUUCUGAGACACGAAUCCAGGCCCUACGGGGCGCAGCAGGCGCGUAAACUUUACAAUGCAGGAAACUGCGAUAAGGGAACUCCGAGUGUCUGGGACAUUCUCAGACUGUUCGGAUACCUAAAUAGUAUCUGAUAGUAAGGGCCGGGCAAGACCGGUGCCAGCCGCCGCGGUAACACCGGCGGCCCGAGUGGUAACCAAUAUUAUUGAGCUUAAAGCGUUCGUAGCCGGCUCGGCAAGUCCCUUGGGAAAUCUGACGGCUUAACCGUCAGGCGUUCAGGGGAUACUGCCGGACUUGGGACUGGGAGAGGUAGGAGGUACUUCAGGGGUAGGGGUGAAAUCCUGUAAUCCUUGGGGGACCACCGGUGGCGAAGGCGUCCUACCAGAACGGCUCCGACGGUGAGGAACGAAAGCUAGGGGCACGAACCGGAUUAGAUACCCGGGUAGUCCUAGCCGUAAACGAUGCGGGCUAGGUGUCACAGUAGCCAUGUGCUGUUGUGGUGCCGCAGGGAAACCGUGAAGCCUGCCGCUUGGGAAGUACGUCCGCAAGGAUGAAACUUAA